AGGGCUCCAGAAGUUCACCUCCUCCAUUCCUCCUGCAGCCACAAGACUGAUGACUUCAACAUUGAGCUUGUGUGCCUCAUCUCAGGCUUCUACCCGAGCCCAGUCACAGUGAAUUGGCUGGUUGAUGGCAAAUCCGGGGUGCUGGCUUCCCACACGGAGUCCCCCAAGAAAGAUGCUACAGGGAACACCUUCAGCACUACCAGCACUGCCAAUGUUACUCAAGUAGCCUGGAAAGAGGGGAAGACAUACACCUGCCAGGUGAUCCACGAGGGUACCAGAGUGGAAAAAGAUGCCUCAAAAUGCCCAG